GCUCAUUAAAUCAGUUAUCGUUUAUUUGAUAGUACCUUACUACUUGGAUAACCGUGGUAAUUCUAGAGCUAAUACAUGCUAAAAACCUCGACUUCGGAAGGGGUGUAUUUAUUAGAUAAAAAACCAAUGCCCUUCGGGGCUCCUUGGUGAUUCAUAAUAACUUAACGAAUCGCAUGGCCUUGUGCCGGCGAUGGUUCAUUCAAAUUUCUGCCCUAUCAACUUUCGAUGGUAGGAUAGUGGCCUACCAUGGUUUCAACGGGUAACGGGGAAUUAGGGUUCUAUUCCGGAGAGGGAGCCUGAGAAACGGCUACCACAUCCAAGGAAGGCAGCAGGCGCGCAAAUUACCCAAUCCCGACACGGGGAGGUAGUGACAAUAAAUACUGAUACAGGGCUCUUUUGGGUCUUGUAAUUGGAAUGAGUACAAUUUAAAUCCCUUAACGAGGAACAAUUGGAGGGCAAGUCUGGUGCCAGCAGCCGCGGUAAUUCCAGCUCCAAUAGCGUAUAUUAAAGUUGUUGCAGUUAAAAAGCUCGUAGUUGAACCUUGGGCCUGGCUGGCCGGUCCGCCUCACCGCGUGCACUGGUCCGGCCGGGUCUUUCCUUCUGGGGAGCCGCAUGCCCUUCACUGGGUGUGUCGGGGAACCAGGACUUUUACUUUGAAAAAAUUAGAGUGUUCAAAGCAGGCCUAUGCUCGAAUACAUUAGCAUGGAAUAAUAGAAUAGGACGUGUGGUUCUAUUUUGUUGGUUUCUAGGACCGCCGUAAUGAUUAAUAGGGAUAGUCGGGGGCAUCAGUAUUCAAUUGUCAGAGGUGAAAUUCUUGGAUUUAUUGAAGACUAACUACUGCGAAAGCAUUUGCCAAGGAUGUUUUCAUUAAUCAGUGAACGAAAGUUAGGGGAUCGAAGACGAUCAGAUACCGUCGUAGUCUUAACCAUAAACUAUGCCGACUAGGGAUCGGGCGAUGUUAUCUUUUUGACUC
rnacentral:rRNA from 1 species